rnacentral:rRNA from 1 species
CGGGGAAUUUUGGACAAUGGGGGAAACCCUGAUCCAGCCAUCCCGCGUGUGCGAUGAAGGCCUCCGGGUUGUAAAGCACUUUUGGCAGGAAAGAAACGUCAUGGGUUAAUACCCCGUGAAACUGACGGUACCUGCAGAAUAAGCACCGGCUAACUACGUGCCAGCAGCCGCGGUAAUACGUAGGGUGCAAGCGUUAAUCGGAAUUACUGGGCGUAAAGCGUGCGCAGGCGGUUCGGAAAGAAAGAUGUGAAAUCCCAGAGCUCAACUUUGGAACUGCAUUUUUAACUACCGGGCUAGAGUGUGUCAGAGGGAGGUAGAAUUCCGCGUGUAGCAGUGAAAUGCGUAGAUAUGCGGAGGAACACCGAUGGCGAAGGCAGCCUCGUGGGAUAACACUGACGCUCAUGCACGGAAGCGUGGGGAGCAAACAGG